AAUCAACGCUGGCGGCGUGCCUAACACAUGCAAGUCGAACGAGAAAGUGGAGCAAUCCAUGAGUAAAGUGGCGACCGGGUGAGUAACACGUGACUAACCUACCUUCGAGUGGGGGAUAACCUCGGGAAACCGAGGCUAAUACCGCAUAACAUCGCAAGAUCAAAGCAGCAAUGCGCUGGAAGAGGGGGUCGCGGCUGAUUAGCUAGUUGGCGGGGUAACGGCCCACCAAGGCGAAGAUCGGUAGCCGGCCUGAGAGGGCGCACGGCCACACUGGAACUGAAACACGGUCCAGACUCCUACGGGAGGCAGCAGUGGGGAAUUUUGCGCAAUGGGGGAAACCCUGACGCAGCAACGCCGCGUGGAGGAUGAAGCCCCUUGGGGCGUAAACUCCUUUCGACCAAGACGAU
rnacentral:rRNA from 1 species